GAUGAACGCUAGCUACAGGCUUAACACAUGCAAGUCGAGGGGUAACGAGAGGAAAGCUUGCUUUCCUUGUCGACGACCGGCGCACGGGUGAGUAACGCGUAUCCAACCUGCCCCCAACUAGGGAAUAACCUUGCGAAAGUAAGACUAAUACCCUAUAAUUUCCUCAGAUGUCAUCUGACGAGGAAUAAAGAUUUAUUGGUUGUGGAUGGGGAUGCGUCUGAUUAGCUUUUUGGCGGGGUAACGGCCCACCAAGGCAACGAUCAGUAGGGGUUCUGAGGGGAAGGUCCCCCACAUUGGAACUGAGACACGUUCCAAACUCCUACGGGAGGCAGCAGUGAGGAAUAUUGGUCAAUGGGCGGAAGCCUGAACCAGCCAAGUAGCGUGCAGGAUGACGGCCCUAUGGGUUGUAAACUGCUUUUAUACAGGAAUAAAGUUAGCCACGUGUGGUUAUUUGUAGGUACUGUAUGAAUAAGGACCGGCUAAUUCCGUGCCAGCCGCCGCGGUAA
rnacentral:rRNA from 1 species